GGAUGUGAGGGUGAUCUGGCCAAGGAGGAUCCAUUAGCCUGACUAUCCCCAGGGUUGAUCUGGCAGACAGGUGCCCCCCUCCUCCCUCUCUGUGCUCCAUUCAUCUCAAUGCUGUUUCCCUGCACGACCUUACUGGAAGAAAGGGGGCUGGUAUUUUGAGUAUCAGCACUCCCUGCUGAGCCUCCAAACACAUUCCCAAGAUCUGUCUUUAAAUAUACUAUUUUAUUAAAUAAAAAUAUAAAUUAUAAGCCAAGAGGUGGUGGCACAUGCCUUU
rnacentral:sRNA from 14 species